rnacentral:rRNA from 1 species
ACGCUCGACACCUACGGGAGGCAGCAGUGAGGGAUAUUGGUCAAUGGGGGAAACCCUGAACCAGCAACGCCGCGUGAGGGAUGACGGUCUUCGGAUUGUAAACCUCUGUCCUCUGUGAAGAUAAUGACGGUAGCAGAGGAGGAAGCUCCGGCUAACUACGUGCUAGCAGCCGCGGUAAUCUGAGCGGGCUGGCAAGGC